rnacentral:snoRNA from 1 species
CAUUGUCCAGAUUAAGCCCCUUGUUGAAGACCAUUCAGAACAUAAUAUUAUGUUCUGAAUGGUCUUCAACAAGGGGCUUAA